UGACCACUGAGGAGAGGGGAGAGAAUGGGCUGUUAGGCAGGCCUGGAUCUGCUGGCAUGUUCCCAUGUUGGCAGCCAUCCUCAUAACAUUUUCUCAAAGCUGGGCUACUUUACCCCAACAGUUCCUGCACUCUUUCCCACCCCACCCCUGAGAACUGGGGGUUUUAAAUACAAUACUAAUGUAUUUACUGUGGUAAAUAUAGUAUUUUGGUAUUGCAUUUUGGUGUGAUCUCCUUCAAAGGUUAAAUCCCAUCUCCUUACCCACUGGAAUGACAAUUCCAAUCACAGCUGCUGUCACAGUUGAACCGAAGCCUUCAUCAUCAUUUGCAUCUGUAAUUACAGAAGUGUUCUGAUCAUUUAACUCGUUUGCUGCUUUUAAAGGAUGUUUUCUGUUAGUACCCAUGCUGCUCUGCUCAGCAGAAAGCUUUUGCAAUUAAAGAUAUAUAUAAAAGAUAUACAUAUUAUUAUAUGUAAGAUAUAAAUAUUAUAUAUAAAUAUAUAUAUAUAUUAAAGAUAUACAAAAAGUUUCAUAGUAAAAUGACUCUGGCCCCACGGAGCAGUGCACACAGAUGUGGGCUGAGCUGAGCUGCUGCUCCUGAGGAGCGAGGUCCCUGCUGGUGCAGCACUGUCAGAGAAACUCUGACCAGAAAUGGGUGACUGUGCUUGGGCCUCCGAUUUUCAGGCACAAAAAAGGAGGCCAGUUUUAAAAAACCUGACAUUUAAUGGAAAUGGAAUGCAGGGAUCAGGGGAUGGUGAAUAGCAGUCCUAAAAAUCCACAGCAGAACACUUUCUAGUACUGACACAAUUAAUGACUCACUGAGCUGUCAGAAAAAGAGUGUAGUUCAAAGCCAUCUGAACAGUUUCUCUGUUUAAUUUUUCCCUUUUUAUUAUUUACAGCUGAGGAGUUAGUGAACACAUCUAUCCCUCAUUGCUGCAGCCUGCCCAUGCAAGGAUGGUCCCAAAACUCAAUAGUGUACUUAUAAGAGAAAAAAACAAUUGCAGGAAAAUAUAAUUUAAAAAAAUUCAAUAUAACCUUUCAAGUUCUAUACUUUAAAAUGUUUGCUCUGAGCUCUCAUAUAGCUUAUCAGUAGAGAAAAUUUACUUUUUCUAAAAUAUCAGGAGUUGCAAGAGGAGGAACUAACUGUUCUUUUUCUUUUGAUACACCAGUUCAUGCAACUUCUAAAUACUCCCCUGUGGCAGGCUGUUCCAUCACAUAAUUAUUUACUUAAUAACGAGCCAGACUCUCUCCAAAGUGGACAAUAAAAGCACCUUGCUUCCAUGACAUAAUAAAAAGGUAAUUACUGCACUUGAAAGAAACUUGCACAAAGAGAACUGAAUGCAUUUUAGCCUUCGGACUGAGCUUCCUGCACAGCACGGUUCUACAGACAGGGGCGGUGCACUGCUGCUUUCCACACGUCAUGGAAAAAGUGAAACAUUUGUGGUUAUCCUGGGCUGACUUUCUGCCGUUCGUAUCCCAAUUAUCCGUUCUGUUUGUGCUGGUUAUUGAAUUCUGCUCGUUUCAAAGCGGCUCCGGAGCGAAGGGGAGGGACAAAAGAAGCCGCGGUUUGUUUUGAGGAACAGCGCUCACCCCGCCCCGCUCCGGCCUGUGCUGUUUGCUGCACGGACACAGCGUUUAGUUAUUGUUUAGCUGGCUGAGAAAUUCCCCGGACGGUGUUUUCCUUUUUCCUCGGAUCUUUCCAAGCCUGCUCUGGACUGCAAACCCAGACAAAGCCUGGGAGCUCCCAGCUGUGGCUCAGCGGGGCCUGGGCCUCGGCACUUUCCAGCGCCGGAGGGACCGAGAAGAGACUGAGCUGCAGCCCACGGCAAGGACUUUCUGAAUUUGCCGUCUCUUCCAACAGCGAGAGGUGAGCAGCACAGCAGAGCCAUUAAACCAUUGCUCUUGGAAGAAAAUGGAAACAGCCACAACCCAAUUAAGUCAGUAAGACUGGGAAAACACCAUGCCAGAAGGAAUCCAUCUCAGCUCUGGGAUGCUUUUACCUUCCUAGCAGGUAAGUGACCAGCUUGAACAGCUUAGUGGCUAAAAAUGGAUGAAACAUUCAAAAUACCACACAUACCAACACCAGCAUGUUAAAAGCAUAAAGCCUGCUGAAAAGAAAUCCAUUAUUUAUUAGCUCUGUGCCUUUAUCAAGCCAAGCUCAAAGUGCAUUUCAAACCGGAUUCUUCAGAGGUACUUCUCUUGACUGCCUUGUUCAGUAUACUCCAACUUCAGAGGUAGAAAAUGAAUUUUUUUUUUUUCUGUUGAUCAUAUAUUCCCUUUAGCAUAGCAGCUUCUAACCCCCAGGCUGUGACCCCAUCAUGCAGCCUGAGGGCUUUGAACAUUUUUCCCGUUUUUCACUCCUUGUCUUUCUAGUGAAACAGAUCUCUUCUGAGGCACAGUACCAUCCAACAGCUCUUACACCUCCUCUAUGGAUUCUCAAGGAAAAAGCACAGCAGGGGCGUGGAACACAGCUGACCCUGCUGGGCUGAGCACCCAGCCAUGUCAUGUGGGACACAAGUGCUCCUUGUCUGGCACAGCUGCUGCUCACACA